rnacentral:rRNA from 1 species
CAGCAGUGAGGAAUAUUGGUCAAUGGAAGCAAGUCUGAACCAGCCAUGCCGCGUGAAGGAUGAAGGCGUUCUGCGUUGUAAACUUCUUUUAUCUGGGAAGAAACCCCCGAUUUCUAUCGGGGCCGACGGUACCAGAGGAAUAAGCACCGGCUAACUCCGUGCCAGCAGCCGCGGUAAUACGGAGGGUGCAAGCGUUAUCCGGAUUUACUGGGUUUAAAGGGUGUGUAGGCGGGUCUAUAAGUCAGUGGUGAAAUCUCCGGGCUCAACCCGGAAACUGCCAUUGAUACUAUAGGUCUUGAAUAUUGUGGAGGUGGGCGGAAUGUGUCAUGUAGCGGUGAAAUGCUUAGAGAUGACACAGAACACCGAUUGCGAAGGCAGCCCACUACGCAACUAUUGACGCUGAGGCACGAAAGCGUGGGGAUCAAACAGGAUUAGAUACCCUGGUAGUCCACGCCCUAAACGAUGAUUACUCGACAUCAGCGAUAAGACUGUUGGUGUCUGAGCGAAAGCAUUAAGUAAUCCACCUGGGAAGUACGAUCGCAAGAUUGAAACUCAAAGGAAUUGACG